GGUUCCGUGGUCUAGUUGGUCAUGAUUUCUCGUUAACACCGAGAAGGUCCCCGGUUCGAGCCCGGGCGGAACCA
rnacentral:tRNA from 12 species